rnacentral:rRNA from 1 species
UACAGAGGGUGCGAGCGUUAAUCGGAAUUACUGGGCGUAAAGCGUGCGUAGACGGUUAUUUAAGUCGGGUGUGAAAGCCCCGGGCUCAACCUGGGAAUUGCAUUCGAGACUGAAUAGCUAGGGUACGGUAGAGGGAAGUGGAAUUUCCGGUGUAGCGGUGAAAUGCGUAGAUAUCGGAAGGAACAUCAGUGGCGAAGGCGGCUUACUGGGUCUUAACUGACGCUGAGGCACGAAAGCCAGGGUAGCAAACGGG